rfam:Gossypium raimondii Chr09_contig_1514, whole genome shotgun sequence.
UGUUAAAAAUUUUGGCUAUUUGUACUGUUAAAAACUGACAUGACUGAUGGAACAACUAGGCAAUGACACGUGGCAUGCCACCUAUACCUCAUGCUGAUGUACAUGGAUCAUUUUUAAUAAUAAAAAUAGAUGGAAUUUUUAAAG